rnacentral:rRNA from 1 species
GACAGAGGUGCCGAGCGUUAGGCGGAAUCACUGGGCUUAAAGCGUGUGUAGGCGGACUUCUAAGUACCUUGUGAAAUCCCACGGCUCAACCGUGGAACUGCUUGGUAUACUGGUCGUCUUGAGCCAUCUAGGGGCUGUCGGAACAAAUGGUGGAGCGGGUGAAAUGCGUAGAUAUCAUUUGGAACGCCAAUGGUGAAAACAGCUUGCUGGGGGUUUGCUGACGCUGAGACACGAAAGCCAGGGGAGCAAACGGG